ACUGGAUUCUUCCCGCGUUCCCGUUUGUGGUUCACGCACUUUUGUUUUCCCGCCAGCGAGGAUGCCAAACUGCUGUGUUUUCUUUUGAACUCUCUUGUUUGCCGUGCUUCCUUUGAAACCUCGACGGUGACCACGCGCUGCGCUCGGACAGCUCGGUGCCCAAAUCCUCGUUUUCUUUUGUAAAUGCGCUUCACUUUCCUUCCGUGUUGUCUCCACUGGAGUCCGGCCGCCCGUUUGUUCUUCUGCAUUCAACUCCGCGGCCGCGUCGGGAAUCCCUCCCGAGCCGCCGUAUAUGCCGUGAGUCGGCGAUUUUGUCGUCCCGUCGCCCGAUGGGAAGGACUCGCGACGGUUCAUCCCAUUUAUUGUCUCUCCCACAUUGCAUCUUGAGGCCUCGUCGACAGCUGGAAAAGCAAGAUAUGCCGUGACGCGUUCCCCCCCCCAUACCAAAACCAAAACGUUCCCCCUUCCCGGCGUCGUCUUUCAGGAGUUGCGCUCGCAAAACGAUCUUCGAACUCAUUCGCUGCCGGCCGUUUCGCUCGAAUGCAGUGAGGUCGCGCCGUAUCGCACGUUGAUGAUCCCCAAUUGCCUCUCUGUGGAAAAUGUGCAGUAUAUUCAUGAUAUAUUUCUAUCAUCAUGGAAGGGUCACUUGGACUGCUGUCACUCAUUGAAUUGCGGUGGUGUUUUUUUUUUGUUUGUUUUGUUUCUUUUUUUUUUUCAGCGCAAUACGUCUUUUUCUAUAUCUCAGCCCUCAAACGGCACCGACGUCGUGCGCAGGCCGACCGGUGCCCCAACUUGCACAAGCCGUCGUCGAUAGAAAUUUUUUUAAAAAAAGGAGCAAUCAAUUCAUGCCCUCGGACGGGGGCAAGGAGAGCAAGGGGACAAUCCGUCAAUUGCGCAUCAUGCCCGAUGUGGGCCAGUCGGCCACGCCGCAUCACCGAGCCCACCCAACACAUGAAUGCGAGACAACGAUGUGUUUUCUCUUUCUUUUGAGACAAUCCGGCGCUGUGUCUUUAUUAAAAGCCCCGCAACGUUUAUUUUGUUGUUUGUUUUGUGGGAGCUGGAGAGGGACAGAUCCGCCCCGUCACGGUGUCGCCGUGUGUGUGGCCGAAGGGGGGAAAAAAAAAAGUUGUCGCGUUGCAAAAGUGUUGGGAGACAUUUUCCCCCCCCCCCCCCCCAAACGUCCUUCCAACGUCUCCGACGGAAUCUCUCUCGUCUGAUUGGAGCGCGCGUCGUCGCUUUUUGUAGACGCGAGGCACUGACGUGUAUAUUGAGAAGGCUCCGCCUCUUCUAUUUUUAUAUUUCGAAAAGGAGAAAAAAAGGUUUUGUACUCCUCCUGUGUGCUGGAAAACUAUUUAUUGCCUAAAUUAUUGAGCUGCUGUCGUUUUCAACCACUAAUGUGUCGAACGGCACCCAAGGGAUCGCCGGGGGCGCCUUCUGGCCGCCCGCGUCGUCUUGGGUCCGUCACCGAGUCACAACGGGCUGGCGCCUCUGUUCCACAUCUCCAAGUACUUUUUUUUGUUUUUUUUUUUUUACGUUCCGUUCAUUCGUCUCAUCAGUGAACGUCCAACCACGACCAAUGUCUCGGCCCCGUCGUACCCGAAACGGAAAGCAAACAUGACGAGAUGGCAAGAAAGGCUGAACUUUUAUGAACCAACUUGGAUUUGUUUUUUCGUGGAGUGAAAGUUGCAAUCGUAUGAAGAUAAAGUCACAUUUUUUGAGCUUCAAUGUGCCAUGGCGAUGAAACAACAUGAGCUGUUCCUUCCUUGAGAGUUUGGCGCUCCUGCGUUGCGCUCCGCUCAGAUGGAUGCUUGCGGGGAAAAUCUUCAUUCUUGUUCUGUUACUUUUUCGAAGAAUACUCAAAGGAUCAGACUUCAUUUCUGUCAUUUGCAACUGUUUUCUAUCAAAAUACACGAAUCUCAUCAUGCAACUC